CAAUUCCUUCUCAAGUAGGCAGGCUUCAAAGUCUUGUUUUCCUUUCUUUGUCCAACAACCACCUCAAUGGUCAAAUUCCUCAUUCAUUUGAAAGCCUAGAAAAUCUCUCCUUGUUACUUCUUGAUAACAACCACCUCAGUGGUCAAAUUCCUAAUUAUUUUACAAACUUCACUAGACUUGAAGGAUUAGAUUUAUCAAAUAAUAGAUUCAUUGGCCCAAUUCCUUCUCAAGUAGGCAGGCUUCAAAGUCUUGUUUACCUUUCUUUGUCCAACAACCACCUCAAUGGUCAAAUUCCUCAUUCAUUUGAAAGCCUAGAAAAUCUCUCCUUGUUACUUCUUGAUAACAACCACCUCAGUGGUCAAAUUCCUAAUUAUUUUACAAACUUCACUAGACUUGAAGGAUUAGAUUUAUCAAAUAAUAGAUUCAUCGGCCCAAUUCCUUUUCAAGUAGGCAGG
rnacentral:lncRNA from 1 species